AAUAAUUUAGUAUAAGCUAUUAUAUAUAAUUUCCAAUUAUAAGAUUUAAUGAUUAAAAUUAUUA
rnacentral:tRNA from 1 species